rfam:Manacus vitellinus contig46821, whole genome shotgun sequence.
ACAAAGGCUCUUUUAAGAGCCACUACAAGCACAAUAAAAAGGGCUGU